rnacentral:rRNA from 1 species
UACGUAGGGGGCAAGCGUUGUCCGGAUUUAUUGGGCGUAAAGAGUUCGUAGGCGGUUCGUUAAGUCAUAUGUGAAAGCCCUGGGCUCAAUCCAGGAAGUGCAUACGAUACUGGCGAGCUAGAGUGCAGGAGAGGAAGGCGGAAUUCCAGGUGUAGAGGUGAAAUUCGUAGAUAUCUGGAGGAACAACAGAGGCGAAGGCGGCCUUCUGGACUGUCACUGACGCUGAGGAACGAAAGCGUGGGGAGCAAACAGG